GACGAACGCUGGCGGCGUGCCUAAUACAUGCAAGUAGAACGCACAGUUUAUACCGUAGCUUGCUACACCAUAGACUGUGAGUUGCGAACGGGUGAGUAACGCGUAGGUAACCUGCCUGGUAGCGGGGGAUAACUAUUGGAAACGAUAGCUAAUACCGCAUAAUAUUGAUUAUUGCAUGAUAAUUGAUUGAAAGAUGCUAUUGCAUCACUACCAGAUGGACCUGCGUUGUAUUAGCUAGUAGGUGAGGUAACGGCUCACCUAGGCGACGAUACAUAGCCGACCUGAGAGGGUGAUCGGCCACACUGGGACUGAGACACGGCCCAGACUCCUACGGGACGCAGCAGUAGGGAAUCUUCGGCAAUGGACGAAAGUCUGACCGAGCAACGCCGCGUGAGUGAAGAAGGUUUUCGGAUCGUAAAGCUCUGUUGUAAGAGAAGAACGGGUGUGAGAGUGGAAAGUUCACACUGUGACGGUAUCUUACCAGAAAGGGACGGCUAACUACGUG
rnacentral:rRNA from 1 species